rnacentral:rRNA from 1 species
CCGGGGCGGGCGGCCCUAACACAUGCAAGUCGAACGGUAGCACAGAGAGCUUGCUCUCGGGUGACGAGUGGCGGACGGGUGAGUAAUGUCUGGGAAACUGCCUGAUGGAGGGGGAUAACUACUGGAAACGGUAGCUAAUACCGCAUAACGUCGCAAGACCAAAGAGGGGGACCUUCGGGCCUCUUGCCAUCAGAUGUGCCCAGAUGGGAUUAGCUAGUAGGCGGGGUAACGGCCCACCUAGGCGACGAUCCCUAGCUGGUCUGAGAGGAUGACCAGCCACACUGGAACUGAGACACGGUCCAGACUCCUACGGGAGGCAGCAGUGGGGAAUAUUGCACAAUGGGCGCAAGCCUGAUGCAGCCAUGCCGCGUGUGUGAAGAAGGCCUUCGGGUUGUAAAGCACUUUCAGCGGGGAGGAAGGCGGUACGGUUAAUAACCGUGCCGAUUGACGUUACCCGCAGAAGAAGCACCGGCUAACUCCGUGCCAGCAGCCGCGGUAAUACGGAGGGUGCAAGCGUUAAUCGGAAUUACUGGGCGUAAAGCGCACGCAGGCGGUCUGUCAAGUCGGAUGUGAAAUCCCCGGGCUCAACCUGGGAACUGCAUUCGAAACUGGCAGGCUGGAGUCUCGUAGAGGGAGGUAGAAUUCCAGGUGUAGCGGUGAAAUGCGUAGAGAUCUGGAGGAAUACCGGUGGCGAAGGCGGCCUCCUGGGACGAAAACUGACGCUCAGGAGCUAAAGCUUGUGGAGCAAGCAGGUAUCAGAUAC